rnacentral:rRNA from 1 species
UACGUAGGGCGCGAGCGUUGUCCGGAAUUAUUGGGCGUAAAGAGCUCGUAGGUGGCUUGUUGCGUCUGCCGUGAAAGCCCGUGGCUUAACUACGGGUCUGCGGUGGAUACGGGCAGGCUAGAGGCUGGUAGGGGCAAGCGGAAUUCCUGGUGUAGCGGUGAAAUGCGCAGAUAUCAGGAGGAACACCGGUGGCGAAGGCGGGUCUCUGGGCAAUAACUGACGCUGAGGAGCGAAAGCGUGGGGGAGCGAACAGG